UUCAAACACCGGUUCUCGUACAAUCAGCAAAGUUAAGGUACCUCGAGCCUGUUCAGUUCCUAGAUGGGUAACCACUUGGGAAUGCUGGGCGCUGUAAG